GACCACGAUCCAACCCUAAAUACUAAUACCAGAUCGAUAGUGCACAAGUACCGUGAGGGAAAGGUGAAAAGAACUGAGGUGAUCAGAGUGAAAUAGAACCUGAAACCAUUUGCUUACAAUCAUUCAGAGCACUAUGUAGCAAUACAGUGUGAUGGACUGCCUUUUGCAUAAUGAGCCUGCGAGUUGUGGUGUCUGGCAAGGUUAAGCAAACGCGAAGCCGUAGCGAAAGCGAGUCUGAAUAGGGCGCUUAGUCAGAUGCUGCAGACCCGAAACGAAGUGAUCUAUCCAUGAGCAAGUUGAAGCUAGUGUAAGAACUAGUGGAGGACUGAACCCAUAGGCGUUGAAAAGCCCCGGGAUGACUUGUGGAUAGGGGUGAAAGGCCAAUCAAACUUCGUGAUAGCUGGUUCUCUCCGAAAUAUAUUUAGGUAUAGCGUUGUGUCGUAAUAUAAGGGGGUAGAGCACUGAAUGGGCUAGGGCAUACACCAAUGUACCAAACCCUAUCAAACUUCGAAUACCUUAUAUGUAAUCACAGCAGUCAGGCGGCGAGUGAUAAAAUCCGUCGUCAAGAGGGAAACAACCCAGACUACCAGCUAAGGUCCCUAAAUCUUACUUAAGUGGAAAACGAUGUGAAGUUACUUAAACAACCAGGAGGUUGGCUUAGAAGCAGCCAUCCUUUAAAGAAAGCGUAAUAGCUCACUGGUCUAGUGAUUUUGCGCGGAAAAUAUAACGGGGCUAAAGU
rnacentral:rRNA from 1 species